UACGUAGGUGACCAGCGUUGUCCGGAUUUACUGGGCGUAAAGAGCGCGCAGGCGGUCGUUCAAGUCGAGUGUGAAAGCCCCCGGCUCAACUGGGGAGGGUCACUCGAUACUGAUCGACUCGAAGGCAGGAGAGGGAAGUGGAAUUCCCGGUGUAGUGGUGAAAUGCGUAGAUAUCGGGAGGAACACCAGUGGCGAAGGCGACUUCCUGGCCUGUAACUGACACUGAGGCGCGAAAGCGUGGGGAGCAAACAGG
rnacentral:rRNA from 1 species